GUCAUGGCAAUCAAGCAAUAAUAAUAUAUGCCUCAUACACCAUACAAGUAGGCCACAGUUAGCAAUCAAGUUAGAUAUAUAAACAAGCAUAUGAUCAAAUCAAAUAAUCAAAGAAUGAAGUAAUUAAGCAUUAGACAGUGCAUGAGAGGUAUAGACAUGUUAAGCAAUCAAACAAUGGAAGCAUGGAUGAAAGAAACAAG
rnacentral:lncRNA from 1 species